rfam:Salmo salar isolate Sally breed double haploid chromosome ssa14, whole genome shotgun sequence.
UAGCUCAGUUGGUAGGUCAUGGUGUUUGCAACACCAGGGUUGUGGGUUUGAUUCCCAC